UCCUGCCUUAUACAUUUAACCAAAUGUCCUCUAGAUUCUUCCAUGUUGUCACAAACGACAGGAUUUCUUUCAUUUUUUGAGGCUGAAUAAUAUUCUAUUGUGUAUGUACCACAUUGUCUUUCCCCAUUCAUCUAUUGACCGGCACAUAGGUUGAUUCCAUAUUUUGGCUAUUGUGAAGAAUGUUGCAAUGAAUGUGAGAGUGCAGCUAUUUCUUUUUCAUACUGAUUUCAUUUGCUUUAAACAUAUACCCAGAAGUG